AGGACGAACGCUGGCGGCGUGCUUAACACAUGCAAGUCGAACGGAAAGGCCCUUUCGGGGGUACUCGAGUGGCGAACGGGUGAGUAACACGUGGGCAACCUGCCCCUCACACUGGGAUAACCUCGGGAAACCGGGGCUAAUACCGGAUACGACCUCGAGCGGCAUCUCUUGAGGUGGAAAGCUCCGACGGUGAGGGAUGGGCCCGCGGCCUAUCAGCUUGUUGGUGGGGUAAUGGCCUACCAAGGCGACGACGGGUAG
rnacentral:rRNA from 1 species